UACGUAGGGUGCGAGCGUUGUCCGGAAUUAUUGGGCGUAAAGAGCUCGUAGGCGGUUUGUCGCGUCUGCCGUGAAAGUCCGGGGGCUCAACCUCGGGCCUGCAGUGGGUACGGGGCAGACUAGAGUGCGGUAGGGGGAGAUUGGAAUUCCUGGUGUAGCGGUGAAAAUGCGCAGAUAUCAGGAGGAACACCAAUUGCGAAGGCAGCUCGCUGGGACGUUUACUGACGCUGAUGCGCGAAAAGCGUGGGGGAGCAAACAGG
rnacentral:rRNA from 1 species